UACGAAUAUUUUUUGAUUUAUUUAUAAUGUUUGGUGUCAAAAAUAUGUGAGAAAUGAGGUAUCUACCUAAUGGUAGGAAGAAAUUAAUUAUGUAAUGGUAGGAAAAAUAAUUUCACUUUAAUUAUGUAUUAGAAAAUCAGUAAUCUUAAAUUAGGAUGUAUCAAUGGAGAAGAAGGCAAUUGUAAUCACAAUACAAUAAUAGAUCUACAAAUACGAAGCAAUACAUUAAAUCAAAAAUCUCAGUAACACUGUUAUUAUGUACUCCCUGUGGUCUUAUUAAUGUCAGCUUAUUGAUAGCUCGAUUACCAGUCAAAUAGUUUCGAUGUUUUCUAUACUAUGAAGAAAAUUUGAUCUGAUUAGAUUAAUUCAGAUGUAAAUUUAUGUUAUACGGUAAGAUAUUUUUAAACAAACCAAGAAAGUUCUCUUCAGACAAGUUCUGGUCUGAAAUUGCAAAUAUUAAUGAAAAAGUUAUACAUGUAGUUUUCUAUUCAUAAAUGAUAUUAUUGAUUUUAUUCUAGGUGAA